rnacentral:rRNA from 2 species
GAGCGGAACGAUCCUAGCUUGCUAGGAGGCGUCGAGCGGCGGACGGGUGAGUAAUGCAUAGGAAUCUGCCCGGUAGUGGGGGAUAACUUGAGGAAACUCAAGCUAAUACCGCAUACGCCCCAAGGGGGAAAGCAGGGGACUUCGGACCUUGCGCUAUCGGAUGAGCCUAUGUCGGAUAGCUAGUUGGUGAGGUAAUGGCUCACCAAGGCCGCGAUCCGUAGCUGGUCUGAGAGGUGACAGCCACAUCGGGACUGAGACACGGCCCGAACUCCUACGGGAGGCAGCAGUGGGGAUAUUGGACAUGGGCGAAACCUGACCAGCCAUGCCGCGUGUUGAAGAAGGCCUUCGGU